rnacentral:rRNA from 1 species
UUACACAUGCAAGUCGAGCGGUAACAUUUCUAGCUUGCUAGAAGAUGACGAGCGGCGGACGGGUGAGUAACGCGUAGGAAUCUGCCUAGUAGUGGGGGACAACAUGUGGAAACGCAUGCUAAUACCGCAUACGCCCUACGGGGGAAAGGAGGGGAUCUUCGGACCUUUCGCUAUUAGAUGAGCCUGCGUGAGAUUAGCUAGUUGGUGGGGUAAAGGCUCACCAAGGCGACGAUCUCUAGCUGGUCUGAGAGGAUGAUCAGCCACACUGGGACUGAGACACGGCCCAGACUCCUACGGGAGGCAGCAGUGGGGAAUAUUGGACAAUGGGCGCAAGCCUGAUCCAGCCAUGCCGCGUGUGUGAAGAAGGCCUUACGGUUGUAAAGCACUUUCAGGAGUGAGGAAGGGUGAUUGGUUAAUACCCAAUUAUU